rnacentral:rRNA from 1 species
UAAACUCCCCGUGUUGAGGAAGAUAAUGACGGUACUCAACAAGGAAGUGACGGCUAACUACGUGCCAGCAGCCGCGGUAAAACGUAGGUCACAAGCGUUGUCCGGAAUUACUGGGUGUAAAGGGAGCGCAGGCGGGAGAACAAGUUGGAAGUGAAAUCCAUGGGCUCAACCCAUGAACUGCUUUCAAAACUGUUUUUCUUGAGUAGUGCAGAGGUAGGCGGAAUUCCCGGUGUAGCGGUGGAAUGCGUAGAUAUCGGGAGGAACACCAGUGGCGAAGGCGGCCUACUGGGCACCAACUGACGCUGAGGCUCGAAAGUGUGGGUAGCAAACAGGAUUAGAUACCCUGGUAGUCCACACCGUAAACGAUGAUUACUAGGUGUUGGAGGAUUGACCCCUUCAGUGCCGCAGUUAACACAAUAAGUAAUCCACCUGGGGAGUACGACCGCAAGGUUGAAACUCAAAGGAAUUGACGGGGGCCCGCACAAGCAGUGGAGUAUGUGGUUUAAUUCGACGCAACGCGAAGAACCUUACCAAGUCUUGACAUCCCUUGACGAUGCUGGAAACAGUAUUUCUCUUCGGAGCAAGGAGACAGGUGGUGCAUGGUUGUCGUCAGCUCGUGUCGUGAGAUGUUGGGUUAAGUCCCGCAACGAGCGCAACCCUUAUGGUCAGUUACUACGCAAGAGGACUCUGGCCAGACUGCCGUUGACAAA